AUUGAACGCUGGCGGCAGGCCUAACACAUGCAAGUCGAACGGUAACAGGGAUCAGCUUGCUGAUUCGCUGACGAGUGGCGGACGGGUGAGUAAUGUCUGGGAAACUGCCUGAUGGAGGGGGAUAACUACUGGAAACGGUAGCUAAUACCGCAUAACGUCGCAAGACCAAAGAGGGGGACCUUCGGGCCUCUUGCGAUCGGAUGUGCCCAGAUGGGAUUAGCUAGUAGGUGGGGUAACGGCUCACCUAGGCGACGAUCCCUAGCUGGUCUGAGAGGAUGACCAGCCACACUGGAACUGAGACACGGUCCAGACUCCUACGGGAGGCAGCAGUGGGGAAUAUUGCACAAUGGGCGCAAGCCUGAUGCAGCCAUGCCGCGUGUAUGAAGAAGGCCUUCGGGUUGUAAAGUACUUUCAGCGGGGAGGAAGGGAGUAAAGUUAAUACCUUUGCUCAUUGACGUUACCCGCAGAAGAAGCACCGGCUAACUCCGUG
rnacentral:rRNA from 1 species